CUGAUGAUGUUCAAGCAUAUGUGAAAGAAAAUUGUUUUGGAAUACCGGCAAUUACAAGCUCUCAUUCUGAUUGGAGUUUUUACUCGCGUGUUCGUUCAACUUUGCGUUAAUGAAGAUUAAGAAAAUUUAGUGCUUUGGAUUAUGUUUGUGUGGUAAAUUAUGAUUUUGUUAAAGGCUUAAUCGUUUUAUGUAUGACGGUUUGGAUUAAGUUUCUUUUAAUUUUAUGAAUGGUUGUUUUUGGUGUUUCAUCUAUGUAUGUAUGGCCGUUAUGAUUAAUAGUAUAUUUUACUCUAUUUUACAAUUUUUAAGACAUGCCUUUUAUCGAUAAUUAUCAAUAUUAUCCUUUUGAAUUGUCACAUUGCUUUCCUAUUAACGUCAAUCUGGUCAUUAAGAUUGAGUGACGGAUGAUUGUCCUACAAUAUUUGAUCAAUCCUCACACGUAGAUUAGCUUCUAUAAGCCUUUUGGGAAUGGUUUCUCUAAGUUUAAGGCGCUAAAGUUACUCUAACUUUAAACUAUUACCUACCAUUAGAUCAAUCACGUGUUUUAACUAAUGCCACGUCUCAUUAUAAUAAAUUUGAAAUUGGACAAAUAAACAAAAUACAUUAACUACAGCUUCUGUUUUUCCCAUACUACCACAACUGUUGCACAGAGUCAUUAUAAUCCACUGUGACCAUUAUAUUCGUGUGUGAGCUCCAUUUAAAUUUAGUAAAUGCUUAUAGUUCUUCAAAAUCCUGUUGUACACGGUAGAAAAAAAGGAAAAUAUCUAUUUACUUGCAAGUUUUUAUUCUUGCACGUUUUUAUUUAAUUUUCUUUUUCAACGUACCUAUUUUCAACGGAGUUAUUAAAACGUAAGAAGGAAGAAGGAAACAUGAGAAGAUAGGGGAUAUAUGUUAGUGCGUGAGAUACUUUUAGUGAAGAAUUCUUUGACCUUGACAAAAGCCUCCUCACACUCAACGGUCCAUUCGAACUUCUCAUUUUUCUUCAGGACGAUGAAGAAAAGGAAAGUCGUGUCGCUCGCGCAGGAGAGGAAUUGAGAUAUGGAGGCAAGGCGUCUAUUAAAUUAUUGAACUUCCUUCACAUUGGUAGAGCUCCUCAUAUCAAUGAUCGACUGACACUUGUCUGGAUUGACUUUAAUCCCUCUUUUUGUCAGCAUAAAACCCAUAAAUUUCUUCGUUUGAACUCCAAAAGAGCACUUUGAGGGGUUUAGGCGCAUAUCAUACAUCUUUACUGACGACAAGAUAUCCUCCAGGUCGUCGGCGUGACUAUGCUCCUCCACCGUUUUGAUAAUCAUGUCGUAGACAUAUACCUCUACAUUUCUCCCAAUUUGAUGGGCGAGACCGCAUCCAUGAGUCACUGCAAGGUGGCGCCAGCAUUCUUGAGGCCGAAUGACACAACAUUGUAAUAAUAGUUGCCAUGGUUCGACAUGAAGGUGGUUUUAGGCGCAUCCAAGGGAUCCAUUCGGAUCUUGUUGUAACCCAAGUAGGUUUAACACCGUAGUUUUUAAAUUAAUUUAUCUUAUUAAGUUAAAUAUGUUUAAAUAGUUUAUUUGAGUGCUUUGUGUAUUUUUUGGGGGGUUAUUGAGGGUGGUAAAAUUUAUAUAAUUUAUCACUAUUUUUGGAUUAAUUAAAAUAAUAGAAAAUCAGAUAAAAUAAUGAAAUAAUGAGUUAUGAGGGAAAAUAGAAAAAUUAAAUAGUUAGUAGGACAAAGAGAGAUAGACCAAAAGUGGAGGGGGAAUUAGAAAUAAUAAAAGAUUAAAUUAGGUUUUUAUUUAAAAGAAAACAGAAGGAGAAAAAUAAGUUUAUGCAGUACAUGAAACUUGGGAAAAGAGGAGUUGAAGAGGCAAGAGAACAAAUCUAGAGGGAAGAACUACCAUUGCUGAAAAUUCACCCUUUUGCUGCAAAAUUUAGGUAAAGAGGGAAUUAUUCAUUAUUGGGUGCUUAUUUCAUAAAGGAUGGUGAGGGAUCCUCACCAUCUUCUCUCUUUGUUGUGUUUUCUCCCAUGGUUAAGUUAGUGAUUUUAGAGAGGGUUUUACAAAAUCUUACUCCUAAUUGUUGUGAUUAAUUAUAAUUCAUACUCUGUUUUAUUGUCUGAAUUAUUGUAUGACUUGCAUGCAAAAAUAUAAAUGAUGAUUUUUCAUGUUCUUAUGCCUUAUGAUAAACACGUGAAUUGAUUUUGUGAAAAUAUAUGGAAUAAAUGGUGAAUAUGUGUGCAAAUGAUGUAUUGAACAUUGAAUAAAUAUGUAUGAUGUUUUUCUGUUCGAUUUGAGUGGAUGAGGGUUGAGAUUUGAGCUUUGGAAAUGCUCUCAUGUCCAAAAAAAACGUAGUUAUGCCUUAUGCACAAUGAUGACGGGCAUCACCUGGGUGACGAGCGACCUGUCACUUCAAAUGGGGGAGCUGACGGACGUCAACGUGAUGACAGGGAGACCAUCAUAAUCUCCGAGACACACUUAUUUCCCGGGCGUCAGCAGGAUGACAAAUUUGUGUGGGUAAAGGGUGACGGGUUGUCAUGACGGCCGUCAUGAUGGGUGGUUGACCUCCAACCCUUCGUUUGAUUGGUUUUGGAUUGUCAGUUCGAUUUUUCGAGCUAUUUUCACUUCCAGCGACUGGUCGUUGAUGUUUUAUUGAGUUUGGUGAGUUGGUGAGUAAAGUUGUUAUGUUUUAAGAAUUGUUAAAAUUUUCUCUAUUGAGAUAUGAGUAACUUGUUGAAUGAUUGUAUGAUUAUGCAUUGGUGAGUCAUAAUUAUGUAUCAUGUUUAUUAUGUUGAGGUGGUAGCCUUAUUGGCGAUGCGUGUGGUUCAAAGAGAAACCAAUGAUAAUUAUUGCAUAUGUAUGUGUUGUUGCAUUUCAUGCAUCAUGGUGUAUAAACUUUGGUCCAGUGUUGCAUCGCUGGUGAAGGAGAAGGGCGAUCCAAAACGCAACGGAAUUUUUAAAAAAAUCUCCUUUAGUGAUCCUUACGAAUAGGCAUGAUCAGUGAUAGAAUCGUUACCUCUUGUGACGAUUGAAACCUUUGAUGCAAAUCUACGAAGCGAUCACGAACGUUAAACGAUGACAACUCCUCUACUCACUCCACACGAACGGAUUCCUUCAAAAUCAGUGUUAUCUGCUAUGAAUGAAGGCUUUGAGUGAGAGAGAGAGAGAGAGAGAGAGAGAGAGAGAGAGAAAAGAAAUUGCAACUGCACAAAUGCUUCUGCACAAGGGUUCUAUUUAUAGAACCACUUGUGUGGGUUGCAAGCUAAAAAAUAUCUCACUUAAGUGUAUGUGGCCCAUAUCUUAUAAUAUGCCAAAAUCACUUAAGUGUGUGGUACCUUACCAUAUUUCGUAUUCUACUUAAGUACAUCAUACCUUACGAUAUUCUACAAUUCACUUAAGUGCACCGUAAGUUACGGUGUUCCUUAGUUACUCUAUCUCUCAUCAAUUUGUCCUUUUGUGUGUGACCCUGUAGUUUUAGCGACAUUGACAAUCAUAUUAAAUCACGUAUUUAACAUAAUAAACAGUGAGCGGUAUCUAGCAACACAUCACUGCUACCCAAGACACGAAAAUGUCAUGUGAUCUGACAAAUCCUUUUGUGAUAAUACUUAUGUGUAAUCACGUAUUUAACAUAAUAAACAGUGAGCGGUAUCUAGCAACACAUCACUGCUACCCAAGACACGAAAAUGUCAUGUGAUCUGACAAAUCCUUUUGUGAUAAUACUUAUGUGUACAAUUACCUUUUUUACCCUUAUGUCUAUAUUGAACACAAGUCAUAGACCGUGUCAUCCUUGUCCAGUUCAAUAUUGGGCCCAUAGACAUUUAUCCUGUUAUGCAGGAUGGGAAAAUUCCAUCUAGGUCACUCAUGUCCCUUAGCAUGCUUCGUGGAGUAUCCAUCAACUGUCUUUAUGGUCAUCCAGUUACGGAUAAUGUUUGAUCAGCAAUAAGGCACUCGAUUAUACAUCUAGGAUCCAUAGUGGUUUCAGGUCGAAGGGUGGUAUACACCAUUAUCACCAUGAGAAUAACUUAUGACACUUUGCAUAAUAUUCUAUAUAGUAUUCUCAUGGCGGGUCAAUCCAGUAUAAAUAUUACUCUUAAUAUUCAUACCUAUGUUUAAGACUUGAUAACUUCUUAUCCAUGAUCCAUGAGAUGUGAUCAUCAGUCUAUAUACAUAAUAGUCUUAAUGCUUUAAUGUUAUCCCACUUCACAAUAAAGCUCGACUACGGAUACUUUAAGAAUAGUGUCCUUAUGUUUAAUGUGAUCUCAUGAUUAAGUCAUACUUGAUACAUUAAACGGACUAGCUAUUCUAGGGACUUUAUUAAACAAACAUAAUAAAGAAAAAGCCUUUUAUUAUUAAUAAAUAAUUCGAUACAAGUACCAAAAGUAUUGGCCUCUAGGGCUUACGCCAACAACUGGUUCAUAAGGGGGGAUGAGUGAAUAGACGUGUUUCAGAAGGGAGGAUCGAUGACAUUUAUGGUUCAAAGGGGGACUAUCGGUGAGUUGACUAAAUCAGUAACAUACCUCUGAUAUCCAAAUUAGUACCACAUGCAUAUAAAUUCGAGGAGUUGAUGCAUUACAUACAUACUCGUUUUGUGAUUGAGUUAUUAUUGUAAUUGGUGAAUUAUUGUGAAUGAUAUUCAUGUGAUUGAUGAUUUCUAGAAUUAUAUUAUCCUUUACUGCUUAUGCAUCACUAACUCUAUUGAAUGUAUUCUCAUCCCCUAGUUGUUUUGUUUGUAGUGUUUUGUACUCUCGUGGUACAGAUACUCAGGAAGAGGAACACAAGUUGUUGUUGAGCUGAAGGAUGGCAUUGAGGCAUCGUCAUCUAUUUUACAAUUUUGUGAGUUGUUUAGUUUUGGUGUCGCUGUGAUAUUAUACACUGAGGACUGGUUGCCUUGUUGCAUGUUAUAUUUCUUAAGAUGUUUGAGUUAUUUUAUUUAGUAAAUUCUAUUGAGACUAAUAAAUUUUUUUCUUUGAAGUAUUGAUAUUUUAUUCCACUACAUGUUUUAUGUUAUAAUUCAUGAGAAAAAUGUAUGUUGGGAAUGUGUAACACCAAGGAUGUGUAAAAUUAUAUGUUUUAGUUUUAUAAAUCAAGGGUUUCAGGUUUUAGGGUGUUACAAUAUAUGUCCAUGAAACUUAACUUACGGUACCAUGAUUACCUGUCGAUUUGACGGUCAAUGUCUGGCAGCGGAUAUUGAUCCUUGGGGAAAGCAUCGUUUAGACCCGUGAAGUCUAUGCACAUGCACCAUUUGUUAUUGGCCUUUCGUACCAAAACUAUAUUAGCCAAUCAAUUGGGGUACUUUGUUUCAGGGAUGAAUUACGUGUUGGAUAGCUUUUCCAGCUUUUCAUCCAUGAUUUCCCUCUUUUCCUCGCCCACCUUCCAUUUCCUCUACGCCACUAGUUUGGCUUAUGGAUGGAUGGUCAAGUGAAGGCUUAUGACUUUGGUGUUUAUACCUGAGGGGUCCCAAAAGAACAGGUUGAUGUUUAUUCUAAGUCAGUCGACUAACUCCUGCUCCUCCCCUAUAAACAAGGAAAUGUCUAUCUUCGUGACUUGAUGAGUGUGAGAACCUAUAUGGACUUCCUUCAGGUCUUCGAUGGGCGUGAGCCUUUCCAUCUAUGCGCCUAAUCUAGGGUACUAACCCUCAAAGUCAGUAUUUGGAACUUCAAAAGGAUGCGCAUCAACAAGAGUGAACUCAUAUCUAGAUGUAUCCAAGCUUCUCAUAUAUAUAUAUAAUUUUAACAACUUUUAUAACUUUAAUUUUCAGCCUAAUACAGCAAUUUUUACUGAGUCCUAUGAUGCAGAGGAUAAGCAUGACAAAGCUUUAGGUGAGGGAUUUACUAAUAUUUUAUAUUAAUGUUUUGUAGUCUUUAAAUUUUUUGAGAUACUGUAUAGAUUAAUUUAUCCUGUGUAAAAAUAAAUUUUAUGAUAUCAUUUUUAAUCAUGGUUAACCGUAACAAAUUUUGGAUAAUGUCCGUUGGAUUAAACGAUCUAAUAUUUAGAUAUUUGAGGAUUUAAGAAGUGUGACAUUUGUGAUUUGUGUAGAUCCAAAGGGUGAACUGUGCAAGUACUUGAAAGGACUAGCUGAAGCUGAUGAUGUUCAAGCAUAUGUGAAAGAAAAUUGUUUUGGAAUACCGGCAAUUACAAGCUCUCAUUCUGAUUGGAGUUUUUACUCGCGUGUUCGUUCAACUUUGCGUUAAUGAAGAUUAAGAAAAUUUAGUGCUUUGGAUUAUGUUUGUGUGGUAAAUUAUGAUUUGGAAUACCGGCAAUUACAAGCUCUCAUUCUGAUUGGAGUUUUUACUCGCGUGUUCGUUCAACUUUGCGUUAAUGAAGAUUAAGAAAAUUUAGUGCUUUGGAUUAUGUUUGUGUGGUAAAUUAUGGUUUUGUUAAAGGCUUAAUCGUUUUAUGUAUGACGGUUUGGAACUUUGGAUUAAGUUUCUUUUAAUUUUAUGAAUGGUUGUUUUUGGUGUUUCAUCUAUGUAUGUAUGGCCGUUAUGAUUAAUCGUAUAUUUUACUCUACUUUGCAAUUUUUAAGACAUGCCUUUUAUCGAUA
rnacentral:lncRNA from 1 species